rnacentral:tRNA from 1 species
ACUUAAGUGGUUUAAGAUUAAAAUAUUGAUUUGUGGUGUCAAUGAUGUUAUUUAUUAUAGCCUUAGGUU